AGAAAAUCAUACAUUAAUGAACCAUGGGAACAACCAUCCAAACAUGGAGUAAAGGAGCUCUUCGCUGCACAACUAAGCAUGAGCUGUCUUCCUUUCCUCUGCAAGAUAAUUUCCAAGGAGUUGGUUGCUCCAUUUUGGGAAAACACAUUAAUGCUCUUGUUUUGUUCCUCCGAACGGUAACAUGCUCUACUUUCAAAUCUUUUUGAUUUUCUAUUUUUUCUCUUUAAGAUUUCAAACCCCAAUUCAACGAAUUUCAGUGCAAAUUGGGUUCCAAGGCAAUUUGAAAAUGUCCCACAUUAUUAGUUUACUAAAAUCUAGCUUUUUAGGGUUCUACAAAUUUGAACUUUAAAACACCAAAGGAAUUCAAAGCUCAGACUUAGAAUGUCUUUUAGCAAGUAGUGGUGAGUAAAAUCUGUCUAUGAAUGAGGAAUGGGGUUCUAUUACAGAUUUUACACAACAAAUAGAAUCCCAUUCCUCAGUCACAGACAUAUUUUACACAUCACUACUUGCUAAAAGACAUUCUAAGUCUGAGCUUUGAGUUCCUUUGGUGUUUUAAAGUUCAAAUUUUAAUUUUUUGAUUUUUUGUUAGAGUAUCGAUCUUGUUGUCAUUGGUGAAAGGUGAUUGAUUCAACUCUCUUUACCCUCGUGGCUGCUCGGCAAAAAGGUACACAACAGUUCAACAGAUUCAAUGAUCUUCCAACAAUGGCUAGGAAAUUAAUCAAUAUUGAUAAAGCUCAGAUCCCAAAUCUGAGAAUCAGAUAUGCUUUUGAUUCAUUUCAUUACAGUUGAAGAUAACAAAUGCUCACAAGUAGCUGCAUUUUGAUAUGCUGCUGCUGUGAUGAUGACACUGCUAUGCUGUUAUAUGCUGAUCUGUACAUUAUCUGAUUGAAUAUUCUUUUGUAUGGGUGGUAUUAGUGUGGUUUCAUGCUCAUUCCCAUGCAGAUGAUAUUCAACUAGUAAGUAGGCAGAUCAAUACUGAAGAACAUGGCUCGUUUCCCACUUGCUGAUUGGUUUUAAGCAAAAGGGCAUCUUUCAUAAGAGUUGUUAACUAUCUUGGCAGCUUGAAUGUGGUUCAAGUAGACUUUGUUCCAUACCACCUGGUGAGAGCUUAGAGGUGUGAUAAAUGGAAGGAAGUCAAGGCACCAAGACUAAAUUUUCAAUAGGCAUGAAUUGUUGGCUUUUAGCUUAGUUUGGAUAUUUUGCUUUUUGUUUUGCCUUUUUUCUGUUUUCCUUUGCUAUUUUAGCUUGUAUAGAACUUUUGUUUAUUAAUAAAAUUCCCCAUCGCAAUGUGGUGGCUUCAGUUAAAAAAAAAAACACCAA